UACGUAGGGGGCGAGCGUUGUCCGGAGUUACUGGGCGUAAAGCGCACGCAGGCGGUCUGUUAAGUUGGGAGUGACAGUUGGUGGCUUAACUGCCAAAGUGCUUCGAAAACUGACAGACUUGAGGGCUUCAGAGGGACACGGAAUUCCGGGUGGAGUGGUGAAAUGCGUAGAGAUCCGGAGGAACACCAAAGGCGAAGGCAGUGUCCUGGGGAGUACCUGACGCUCAGGUGCGAAAGCCAGGGGAGCGAACGGG
rnacentral:rRNA from 1 species